ensembl:lncRNA
GAUAGGAGGAUAAGGAAGGAUUGGAUAGGUAGGGUAAGGAAGGAUAAGGAGAGGUAGGAUAGGAGGAUAAGGAAGGGUAGGAUAGGAGGAUAAGGAAGGAAUCAACAGUAACACACUCAUCAGUAAUCCUCAGGCUCGGCUGCGCGCACACACAUGUACACACAAAACAGGCUGAUCUUAUCAGUGGCAGCCAUAGGGUUGCUGUAAUAACCCUGCUGAGGGUGGAGGGUUUGUGUGUUAGUGCUGCGUGUGUUAGUGCUGCGUGUGUUAGUGCUGCGUGUGUUAGUGCUGCGUGUGUUAGUGCUGCGUGUGUUAGUGCUGCGUGUGUUAGUGCUACGUGUGUUAGUUGUGCGUGUGUUUGUGUGCGUGUUUGUGCGCAUGCUUGUGUUUGUGCGCGUGUUUGUGCGCGUGUGCACAAAGUAGUGGUGCUGGAGGUGCUGCAGCACCCCCCUGAUAAAUUGAAAUAAUUUAGCCAAAAUUAGGCUUUUUUUUUUUUAAGUAUUCAAAAUGAUAUUAGUCAUGUCUGAACAUCAUUGAAAAUACUACAUGAGAGAGCAUAAUUUAGCGACAGGCUCAAUAGCUU